GGGCAUUUCCAAGUCUUCAGGAAGGAUUUAAUCAAUGUUUCUCACAUCUGGAGUUGUUUGUAUCUCUUGGGACUCAUAAAAUUUCUAUCUUGAAGACACACGGAAGAAGAGUCAGAUGACUUCCAUAUCAUCAGAUUUCCAGUUAUAAGUUAUUUGAAUCCAAAGAAACGUAAACAAUGUGUUGAAAACAAACUUCAGUGAGAUGAUCUAAAAGACAUCAUUCAUAAGAUUAAAGUACAGAGUCCUACACGAUCACAUGACUAUGACUGAAGGGAACCAGAGACCAACUUUGCAGAAGAGAGGAAAUGCUGAUGUCCAGAUGGGCUCUGAAGGUGUCUUCUUCCAAAGAUUUUCGUCUGCCCUUUCACCUGCAACCUGCAGAACUAUAUAGGAACAUGUGAUGCAUUUGCAUUGGAGCCCUAAAUCAAGUCUGCUGGGAAUUCACAGUCUGUUUAGUAAAUCUUGACCUGUUGCUAAGGCAUGUGGGAGAAUACAGGUUUUAGGCAGUAGAGAAUGCUUUGCUCAGUAGGAACUAGGAGUGUGGGCCUUGGCCUGAUGAUUAGGGAAUACCAACUCAGAUAUAAUCCUUCCAUGGCACUUUCCCCAAGGUUGCCUCCUGGGUAACUGGCCCAUGUUGACAGGUGUGAAUGAGUAUUCAUAGGUAAAAAGAGAUUAGCUCAAUCUCAUUGCUUUUAUGUCUUCAUUCAGAAUUUUCCAUCCCAGCAAGGCAAGUCAAGGGAAUUAGUCAUAAUAUACUGCUUCUGAAUCCUUGCCUGUAUUAGAGAAAAUAUUUACCUUAAGCACCCAAUGGCAGUCCCAGUAAAACAUUCUGACAGGGUCUCCUGUAUAUCAAAGUUGGUGGUUUACCUCCUAUUAGCAUCCAGGUGGAUUAGACUCUGUUUACAAACUCAGAUUGAGUCUCUGAUAUGCUGGAAUCUGCCUUUUAACUGCUAACCAAUGUAAAGCACUCAUGCAUGCACAAGCACACACACAAACACACACACACACACACACACACACACACACACACACAGUGCUAGCUAAAUUUAUCUCCCUACUUUAACAUUUGCUUGGUCACAAUUCAAUAUUUUCCAGAAGUCUGUGUAGCUCCCAGUCAUGAGACUUCUAUAUCACCCUUGCUUCAGAGCUAAAAUCAUAUCUCAAGAUGUAUUUAGAAUUCGCUUUCUUGCUUCCUUAGACCUUGAAAUGAAAGUACAUGUACCUAUCUAAGAGGAGAUUGUUGUCAAAUUCGAACAAAAGGGCCAUAACUAGGUGAAACAACCUCAAGUUUCUAGAGUCCUAUCUCUUGCCACAUGGAUUUUCCUUCAGGCCGUUGGUGUCCUUUUGUGUCACUGCCCACCAUUGAACCAUGUUCUUGACAGAACAUUAGCAGCCAAUCAUCCCCAACUGUAAGGGGAUUUAGCACACUGUGUUAUCUCACCACUGACCCUUACUGCAAGGUGAAAUACAUGUCUGGAUAUCUUUAUUUGGUAUUGUGAAGAGGAAGGGGCUGUAAGGGCUAGGAGAGUAAGGGCUCCAUAAAGUCUGCCUGAGCAAAUGGGUGAAUCUGGAUGGAGGGAGACCAGAUGCAUCCCCCUUUGAAAUAGAUAAGAGAUAGAAUCAAGGGGAAGCAUCUUUCCCUUCUUGUCCCAAGAUUAUUCAUUUAGGUCCUAUCUAAUCUUUACUAGCUUGGACAAUGGGCUGAUUUGUUUUUGUCAAUUCAAUACAAACCUAGAUGUACCCAGAUACAUCAGUCAAGAGGUAAUCUUGAUUGAGAAGCUACCUAAUUAAGUUAGCCUACAGGAAACUCUGUGGGGUAUUGUCCUGAUUAAUGAUCGAUUUGGAGAACCCAGUUCACUAUGGACAAUACCAUUCCCGAGCAGUUAGUUCUGGGUUGUAUAAGAAGGCGUGCUGAAUAAGCCACAGGGAGCAAACCAAGAGGCAUCAGCACUCCCUAUAUUCUGCUUCAGAUGCUCUCCCCAUAUUCCCACCCUUACUUUCUUCAGUGACAGAGUAAGUUCUGAGAGUUAUAGGAUGAAGUAAAUCCUUUUUUGCCUAAGUUGCCUUUGGACAUAAUAUAUUAUCACAACAAUGAAAUUGUACCGAAGACGGGCAACUUAAACAACAACAACAACAACAAACACCAUUUGGUGUUGGGGAGAUGGCUCAGGAGUCAGGAGUACUUGUUGGUUUUCUAGACGAUGCAAGUUCAACUCCCAGUACUCACAUGGUGGCUAACAAGGAUCUGCAACUCCAGUUUCAGGAGAUAUGAAACAUUUUCUGGCCUCCAUAGGGACCAGGCAUGCAUGUGGUAUACAAACAUAAAAGCAGGCAAAACACACAUACACUUAAAAUUAAAAAGAAAAUAAUUAAAACAAGUUCAAAAGCUAACUUUUUUUUCAAUUAAUACCACAGAAGCAACCAUAAAAACAUAGUUAUCAACUAUAGGUUCUUGGAUUCUCCCUAAACAUUUUGAUCUUAAUCUCCACAAUAGCUCUUUCUGACACAUAAAUAUUUAAACCCUUUGUCUGUCUAGGAUAGAGCCCAGGAGUUUGAGUGUCUGCCUUGCUAGAUUGAAGACUGGAGUUCAGAUUCCCUAGAUCACCCACAAAUGCUGGAUAGGGGUGGCAGCCCAGCUGUCGUUGCAGCUUUGGGAGAUCGAGACAGAGAACUCACAGGCAAAGCUGGCUAGCAAAACUAGUCCUGUUGGCUGUCUUUGGGUUUGCUAGACUGCUGCUAGUUCAAUGAAUAGAGUGAUUGAGAAAGUUUCCUAACAACAACCUUAAACUCUCAGAUAGAUGGCAACUUAUGUGCCUGUGCCCCUCCUAUACACAGGCAAAGCAUGCACAUACAUGCAUGCAUUACAGACACACUCAUGUUUAUGCAUGCACACACAUAUACAAGAAAAGUUCAAAAGAUACAAACCCUGCUUGUCUUAUUAGUCUUGAUAUUUGGAAACCAAGGUGGAAUGCUACAGAGAGCAGAGUUGAGUUAGAAAUCUCAGCUCUGCACAUUCACAAUGCAUUGUUUUCUCUAUACUAUGAAGGUUGACUCUACAUAAGUUAAUUACUUAAAAAAAUCAAAUUGUUUUUAGAAAAAGAAAAUACAGUCUCUCUAGACUAAGAAACCUGUAAAAUCUGAAAAGUAGAAUUAUCAACUGGGAAAAGCGGAACGGAAGGUCUGUCUAUUCCGUUCUAGUUUUCUCUGCCUGUUAACUUCACGUACAGACACUUGCCCUAUGUGUAGCUCACUUUAUCACACAGUAGACUUCUUCCCAUCAUCAAUCCCGCAUCCACGUACCAAGAGGCGAGGGAACUCUUGUAAAAGCAAUUGAUCUGAUUUCACAAUCCCUGUCAACCUCACUCCUCAACCUAUGUCACUUUAGCAAAGCUCUAAGGAGCUUUCUAUUCUGGGUUAGAGCACUUCUUUGAAGAAAAUCAAGCUACAAGAUAUAGAAGAUAAUAACUUUUGAGUUAACAGCAUCCCAAGUUAGGUACAAAUGAAUGAAGAUGAAAAGAAGUGCUUCUUUGACAUCCCUGAAUCCUCCAAGUUAAGUCUCUUCCAUGUCUGAAUCCCAAGGUGCUGGGCUCUCACUGUCAUUCCUGAGCUAUAUGCUAUGUGAUUCGUGUCUACUCAGCCAGAAGGAUGAGUGAAGUGCUCACUGUCAAAUGUAGUGACUUACUGGGUCCCUUUAAUACCCAGUAAGCUCAUACCAUCUUAUUUGCAGACACACAGAGACUUCAGAGUUACUCACAGCUGUUCCAGUGUUUAAAACUCACUCCUUCGUCUGAUAAAAAUGUUCACUUACCAAAAGCUCCUUUUAGAUGCCUUGUUCUCUUUUCUGACCCCCACCACACCUUUUUAAUUUUUUCCCGAUAUACUUAGAUCACAAGUAGUUUAUCGUUUCUGGGCCUGGGUGGCCUUGCAUUCCUGAGAAAUCGUUGUAACAUUUUCCUGCUUCUUUUUGUAUAGCUUAAACAAGGAGAGUGGGGUGCCUUUGUUCCUGAAGUGUUGGCUGAUGGUGAAACAAACAGCACGGUUGGACAUGUGCGUUCUGUUUUAGAAACUGGAAACAAACUGCGGGACCUAAGCCAGUAUCUCCGAUUAUGCCAUUGAAAGAUAAUUUUGCUUAUUGU
ensembl:lincRNA Gm14062 predicted gene 14062